UCAUGGUCAUCUGGGGAACUUUCAGCAGAAAAGGGUAGCCGAAGCACGAUGCUUGCAACAGAUGCUUGUUUAUGAACAAGUAAAGUUGCAAUUAAUGCGUGUGAAGCAUGAGAUAUUACUAAAGAGAGUACAGUUGUUGCAGUCAGGGAUUCAGGAAUCUCAAAAUUUGAAGUUAUGUUGUUUGCAACAUCCCUCUGUGCCCAAUGUUAGAGGUGCCGAAAAUAAGAAGACUUAUU